GUGGCCUAAUGGUUAGCGCGCUGGACUCCGGAACGAGCGGUCCGGGUUCGAGCCCUGGUCG
rnacentral:tRNA from 1 species